rnacentral:rRNA from 1 species
UACGUAGGUGGCAAGCGUUGUCCGGAUUUAUUGGGUUUACAGGGUGCGUAGGUGGCUUUUUAAGUCAGGGGUGAAAGACGGUAGCUUAACUAUCGCAGUGCCUUUGAUACUGAAGAGCUUGAAUGAACUAGAGGUAGGCGGAAUGUGACAAGUAGCGGUGAAAUGCAUAGAUAUGUCACAGAACACCAAUUGCGAAGGCAGCUUACUAUGGUUUUAUUGACACUGAGGCACGAAAGCGUGGGGAUCAAACAGG